CGCCGGCGACCGGCGCACGGGUGAGUAACACGUAUGCGACCUGCCCCCGCAGGGGAUAACCGGGAGAAAUCCCGACUAAUACCGCGUAACGCCGCGGACCUGCAUGGGUCUGCGGCCAAAGGAAGCGAUUCCGGCGGGGGAUGGGCAUGCGGCGCAUUAGCUAGUCGGCGGGGUAACGGCCCACCGAGGCGACGAUGCGUAGGGGUUCUGAGAGGAAGGUCCCCCACACUGGUACUGAGACACGGACCAGACUCCUACGGGAGGCAGCAG
rnacentral:rRNA from 1 species